rnacentral:lncRNA from 12 species
GCCUGGUCAUCAGGCCUUCCUGGGAUGGGAAAAUGCUAGAGGAAAAACAAACAUAUAACCAGCACCUUCAACUGUUGAUGAGUACAAAAAGUGAAAAGAAGAAGAAAGAAAUGUAAUGUUUUGAAAAACUGAAUUUAAAGAGUCAGAGUUGUCAGAGUUCAAAGCACAGCUAUGCUACAUUGCUAUAGGUACAAGUCUGGAUUUCACAGGAACUUGCUAGCACAGUUAAGUUCAGUGUAUCUGACCUUGCUGGACAGGUCUCUGACAGAAUCACUCUUUCACCUGCUUGUUGCUAAGGUUUUGGUUAAGUGGCAUAAAUUCAAGAAGAAAGGAAACAGCUAGACAAUGUGGA